rnacentral:lncRNA from 1 species
GCCAAGGCCGUCGGUUCGCCGGAAAUCUCAAACAAUAACCACGACAAUAGCAAACCCGGAAUGCAUAAGUGGAGGUAAACUUCAGUUUUGGGGAAACCGAAGAAAUGGGUGGGCCCGAGGAAAUGGGUGGAGAAAUCUGGAAUUAAGUGAGUGUUUUGUUUAGGAGAGAAGAAGGUUUAUUGUUGCGGGACCACGUGUAAUGGUGUUGAAAUUUUGGAUCAUAAUAUUGGAUUUUUCUUUUUAUUGGAAUAAUUUUGUAAGAAAUUUUGAGUUGAGAGGGAAUUCGUUGUUGUUAGGGGUUGAGAAGCUUGGUUGCCGGAGAGAGGUUUCAGCCCAUGAACGGAGCCGGCGACGACAGUGGUG